AUUGAACGCUGGCGGCAGGCCUAACACAUGCAAGUCGAGCGGAUGAAGGGAGCUUGCUCCUGGAUUCAGCGGCGGACGGGUGAGUAAUGCCUAGGAAUCUGCCUGGUAGUGGGGGAUAACGUCCGGAAACGGGCGCUAAUACCGCAUACGUCCUGAGGGAGAAAGUGGGGGAUCUUCGGACCUCACGCUAUCAGAUGAGCCUAGGUCGGAUUAGCUAGUUGGUGGGGUAAAGGCCUACCAAGGCGACGAUCCGUAACUGGUCUGAGAGGAUGAUCAGUCACACUGGAACUGGGACACGGUCCAGACUCCUACGGGAGGCAGCAGUGGGGAAUAUUGGACAAUGGGCGAAAGCCUGAUCCAGCCAUGCCGCGUGUGUGAAGAGGGUCUUCGGAUUGUAAAGCACUUUAAGUUGGGAGGAAGGGCAGUAAGUUAAUACCUUGCUGUUUUGACGUUACCAACAGAAUAAGCACCGGCUAACUUCGUG
rnacentral:rRNA from 1 species